GAGUUUGAUCUUAGCUCAGAUUGAACGCUAGCGGGAUGCCUUACACAUGCAAGUCGAACGGCAGCACGGACUUCGGUCUGGUGGCGAGUGGCGAACGGGUGAGUAAUGUAUCGGAACGUGCCUAGUAGCGGGGGGAUAACUACGCGAAAGCGUAGCUAAUACCGCAUACGCCCUACGGGGAAAGCAGGGGAUCGCAAGACCUUGCACUAUUAGAGCGGCCGAUAUCGGAUUAGCUAGUUGGUGGGGUAACGGCUCACCAGGGCGACGAUCCGUAGCUGGUUUGAGAGGACGACCAGCCACACUGGGACUGAGACACGGCCCAGACUCCCACGGGAGGCAGCAGUGGGGAAUUUUGGACAAUGGGGGAAACCCUGAUCCAGCCAUCCCGCGUGUGCGAUGAAGGCC
rnacentral:rRNA from 1 species